rnacentral:lncRNA from 1 species
UACUAAUAUAAAUAAGCUUGCGCAUAGUUAUAUACUUUAAUUCAGUCACGGACCCGCGAUAUACGGGUGUGUUCUAGUGAUGUAUAAGUUUUAAAUUAAAUGCCAUAUUAAACCUCUUUAGAAUUAGUUAUUUAUAACUAGACAAUAGUCAAAGCCGUACCCGAAAUGAUAACUUACUGCAAAAUGAUUGAUACACAAUGCUAAUAAUAAGCUAUUUUGGUGAGAGUAUGAUCAACUAUACACAUUUGAACCUGUUUACAUCAUUAAAUGGACGUCUAAAACAUAUGUUCCUUUCGUGCAUAUUCCUUGACCUUUUCCAUUUGAUUACUGACUUGGAAGUUUAGUGUACAAAUAGAAGUUAAAAGCUUAAAAUCAUGCCGAUAAUUAUUUUGUCUUUAUAACAAGGAGCUCUAAGGUCAUAUUGCCAUAUUGGCAGGCACGAGUUAACACUUAACGCAAAUAAAGCGAUUUAGCAUAGACAGACUAACUGAAUCGUAGCUAUAAUUGGCAAAAGAAAACCUGCAGUUUUACCUGUUAAGAGCAUUUGAAACACAUCAAAAAUUAAAAUGAAAAAAAAUGAAAAAAAGUGUUUGUUUUAAUCAUUUAAAUUAAGAGGAACAAUUGUCUAAAAAACGUUUAUUUUUUCCCUUACAAUUUAGUGAAGUUUUUUAUUUUUAUCACUCUUAUAAAUAUUAUGUCAAAAUAUAUGUAGUUAGUAGAAGUUAUUG